rnacentral:sRNA from 1 species
CCUCCCGCAGUCAUGCUGUGCUCCUGGUCAAGGUGAGGCCGCAGACAGGGGUGAGGACCUGGGAAGCCCAGAAGCCUGAGCUAAGCACGAGACCUUUGUUCUUACCCCCAGGUGGACCAGCGGGAACGUUUGGCCCCAUUUCGCCAGCGAGAGGGAAAACUCUAUCUGAUUGACUUGGCUGGGUCAGAGGACAACCGGCGCACAGGCAACAAGGGCCUUCGGCUAAAAGAGAGCGGAGCCAUCAACACCUCCCUGUUUGUCCUGGGCAAAGUGGUAGAUGCGCUGAAUCAGGGCCUCCCUCGUGUACCUUAUCGGGACAGCAAGCUCACUCGCCUAUUGCAGGACUCUCUGGGUGGCUCAGCCCACAGCAUCCUUAUUGCCAACAUUGCCCCUGAGAGAUGCUUCUACCUAGACACAGUCUCCGCACUCAACUUUGCUGCCAGGUCCAAGGAGGUGAUCAACCGGCCUUUUACCAAUGAAAGCCUGCAGCCUCAUGUCUUGGGACCUGUUAAGCUGUCUCAGAAAGAAUUGCUUGGUCCACCAGAGGCAAAGAGAGCCCGAGGCCCUGAGGAAGAGGAGAUCGGGAGCCCUGAGCCCAUGGCAGCUCCAGCCUCUGCCUCCCAGAAACUCAGGCCGGGUGCAGUGGCUCACUCCUGUAACCCCAGCACUUUGGGAGGCU